rnacentral:rRNA from 1 species
AUGCCUCAACCCCCUCUCGUCGCCGCCGCCAGCCUCUGCUGCCGCCUACUCCUCUCCUCGCCGCUCGCCUCCUCCCGCACCCGCCGCUUCCUCCCCCGCGCCAUGGAGUCGUCCUCCUCCACCGCCGCCGCCGCUGCGGAGCACGCAGGUGGCGCGGCGGUGGGGGAGUACGAGGAGGUGCUGGCCCGGCUCUCCUCGCUCAUCACGCAGAAGGUGCGCGCGGACACCGGCAACCGCGGCAACCAGUGGGACCUCAUGGGCCGCUACCUCCAGAUUCUGGAGCUGGAGGAGCCCAUGGCGCGGAUGAAGGUCAUCCAUGUCGCCGGCACCAAAGGUCAUCCAUGUCGCGCGGCCCGAUCGGGGAGCUCCGAUUCGUCUGCCCACCAGUCAGCAGCAGCAACCUAG